rnacentral:rRNA from 1 species
AUUGAACGCUGGCGGCAGGCCUAACACAUGCAAGUCGAGCGGAUGAAGGGAGCUUGCUCCUGGAUUCAGCGGCGGACGGGUGAGUAAUGCCUAGGAAUCUGCCUGGUAGUGGGGGAUAACGUCCGGAAACGGGCGCUAAUACCGCAUACGUCCUGAGGUAGAAAGUGGGGGAUCUUCGGACCUCACGCUAUCAGAUGAGCCUAGGUCGGAUUAGCUAGUUGGUGGGGUAAAGGCCUACCAAGGCGACGAUCCGUAACUGGUCUGAGAGGAUGAUCAGUCACACUGGAACUGAGACACGGUCCAGACUCCUACGGGAGGCAGCAGUGGGGAAUAUUGGACAAUGGGCGAAAGCCUGAUCCAGCCAUGCCGCGUGUGUGAAGAAGGUCUUCGGAUUGUAAAGCACUUUAAGUUGGGAGGAAGGGAAGUAAGUUAAUACCUUGAUGUUUUGACGUUACCAACAGAAUAAGCACCGGCUAACUUCGUG